rnacentral:rRNA from 1 species
AUUGAACGCUGGCGGCAUGCCUUACACAUGCAAGUCGAACGGUAACAGGUCUUCGGAUGCUGACGAGUGGCGAACGGGUGAGUAAUACAUCGGAAUGUGCCUAGUAGUGGGGGAUAACUACUCGAAAGAGUGGCUAAUACCGCAUGAGAUCUACGGAUGAAAGCAGGGGAUCGCAAGACCUUGUGCUACUAGAGCGGCCGAUGGCAGAUAAGGUAGUUGGUGGGAUAAAAGCUUACCAAGCCGACGAUCUGUAGCUGGUCUGAGAGGACGAUCAGCCACACUGGGACUGAGACACGGCCCAGACUCCUACGGGAGGCAGCAGUGGGGAAUUUUGGACAAUGGGCGCAAGCCUGAUCCAGCAAUGCCGCGUGCAGGAUGAAGGCCUUCGGGUUGUAAACUGCUUUUGUACGGAACGAAAAGCCCCGGGUUAAUACCCUGGGGUCAUGACGGUACCGUAAGAAUAAGCACCGGCUAACUACGUGCCAGCCGCCGCCGUAA